rnacentral:rRNA from 1 species
CAGCAGCCGCGGUAACACGGAGGGCGCGAGCGUUACCCGGAUUUACUGGGCGUAAAGGGCGUGUAGGCGGCCUGGGGCGUCCCAUGUGAAAGGCCACGGCUCAACCGUGGAGGAGCGUGGGAUACGCUCAGGCUAGAGGGUGGGAGAGGGUGGUGGAAUUCCCGGAGUAGCGGCGAAAUGCGCAGAUACCGGGAGGAACGCCGAUGGCGAAGGCAGCCACCUGGUCCACUUCUGACGCUGAGGCGCGAAAGCGUGGGGAGCAAACCGGAUUAGAUACCCGGGUAGUCCCUGUCUCUUAUAC